rnacentral:tRNA from 3 species
GGGGCUAUAGCUCAGUCGGGAGAGCGCUUCGUUCGCAAUGAAGAGGUCGGGGGUUCGAAUCCCCCUAGCUCCACCA